rnacentral:tRNA from 1 species
CCAGGGUGUGGCCAACGCGGUGGGCAUGGCGAUGGCCGCCCGCUACGAGCGCGGUCUGUUCGACCCGGACGCGCCGGCC